AGUGAACGCUGGCGGUAGGCCUAACACAUGCAAGUCGAACGGCAGCACAGUAGUAGCUUGCUCUUACGAGUGGCGAGUGGCGGACGGGUGAGGAAUACAUCGGAAUCUACUUUUUCGUGGGGGAUAACGUAGGGAAACUUACGCAAAUACCGCAAACGACCUACGGGUGAAAGCAGGGGAUCUUCGGACCUUUCGCGAUUGAAUGAGCCGAUGUCGGAUUAGCUAGUUGGCGGGGGAAAGGCCCACCAAGGCGACGAUCCGUAGCUGGUCUGAGAGGAUGAUCAGCCACACUGGAACUGGGACACGGUCCAGACUCCUACGGGAGGCAGCAGUGGGGAAUAUUGGACAAUGGGCGCAAGCCUGAUCCAGCCAUAGCGCGUGGGUGAAGAAGGCAUUCGGGUUGUAAAGCCCUUUUGUUGGGAAAGAAAAGCAGCAGGUUAAUACCCCGCUGGUCUGACGGUACCCAAAGAAUAAGCACCGGCUAACUUCGUG
rnacentral:rRNA from 1 species